rnacentral:lncRNA from 1 species
CCCAGCUGCCCUUUCCCUGUCACUGCUGAGACUGGAGAACUCCCAAAGGAGUCAGUCCUUGCUGCUGGUGGGACAUCUUGCUCCGUUCAAGUAUUGCUUGGGCCCUAUCCUAGGGGACAAGGUCAGCAUCCAGGACCUGGACUCCAUCCUGGGCACCAUGGGGAUCCACCUGACCAGUGAGGAGCUGCAGGAAGCCUUAGGACACACGGCAGGUAGGGCUCAUGGGAAGGUGAAUUUGAGUGAAUUCAUGAAGGCAGAGAAGACGGUCCAGAAACCACCCCUGGGGAAAGAGGACAAAGUUGAUGUCAGUAAUGUGGGCUCCAUACUGGCCACCAUGGGGAUCCAUUUAACCCCAGAGGAGCUGCAAGAGGCAUGGAAACAUGUCCCAGUGGAUGAAGGUGGUGAUGUUAGCCUGAGUGCAUACCUGAGCAUGAUGAACACACGGAGACCAUCACAGGCUGAAAGGAACCGGGUGGAUAUCCGGAGCCUGGACACCAUCCUGGGCAGUGUGGGGAUCCACCUUACCAAUGAAGAGAUGCAAGAAGUGCUGGAGCAUGUAACAGUGGAUUGUGAGUGCUGCAGGUCUUGCCAUCCUCUCUGCAGCUGCUCUGGCAGGGUGAGCUCUGAGCCUACGCUGUUCUCUUGCAGCUGA